rnacentral:rRNA from 1 species
UACGUAGGGGGCGAGCGUUGUCCGGAUUUACUGGGCGUAAAGCGCGUGUAGGCGGCUGCUUAAGUCGGGUGUGAAAGCCCGGGGCUCAACCCCGGGAUGCCGCCCGAGACUGGGCGGCUUGAGGUCGGAAGAGGGGAGUGGAAUUCCAGGUGUAGCGGUGAAAUGCGUAGAGAUCUGGAGGAACACCCGUGGCGAAGGCGGCUCCCUGGUCCGAUUCUGACGCUGAGACGCGAAAGCGCGGGGAGCGAACAGG